rnacentral:lncRNA from 1 species
UCCCUCCAGGCAUUAUAGUCCAAGUCAGGAAGGCAGCUCAAAUAGACUUCCUGUUUAUUUGUUGGAUAAAAGUUUCAGAGCUUAGCACAUUUUUAAAUGGAAUUUGGAGCUUCGGUGCCAUGCAAUGUAAACAUAUCUAUGCCCUAUACGGUGUUGUGAAACAGACUUAAAUAUAUGUGUCCUAUAUGGUGAUGUGACAUAGAUUUGCAUUCUUUUCCUUACCCCUUUGCCUUUUUAGUCUUCCUUUCUUUUUUUUUUUUUAUAAUAGAAUAGAAAUACC